GCCCGAGUGGUGGAAUUGGUAGACACAAGGGACUUAAAAUCCCUCGACAGCAAUGUCGUGCGAGUUCGAGUCUCGCCUCGGGCACAA
rnacentral:tRNA from 1 species